rnacentral:rRNA from 1 species
CAGUCGCCACGGGAAUACGUAGGUGGCAAGCGUUGUCCGGAAUUAUUGGGCGUAAAGCGUCUGUAGGUGGCUUUUCAAGUCCGCCGUCAAAUCCCAGGGCUCAACCCUGGACAGGCGGUGGAAACUACCAAGCUGGAGUAUGGUAGGGGCAGAGGGAAUUUCCAGUGGAGCGGUGAAAUGCGUUGAGAUCGAAAAGAACACCAACAGCGAAAGCACUCUGCUGGGCCGACACUGACACUGAGAGACGAAAGCUAGGGGAGCAAAUGGGAUUAGAUACCCCAGUAGUCCCUGUCUCUUAUAC